rnacentral:misc_RNA from 1 species
AUGGACUUCUACCUAUAUCACUUGUAAGCGGCACCAAAUUAAAAUAAACAUAUUUUUUUUCUUUGAGCACCGGAAUCUCCCUUCCGACGCACUUGACACGGCGGCCGGCGUCUGCUUGCCCCUUCGCCAAUGCGUGUGCUUCAUAAACCUUCCCCUUCCCCUUCUCCUUCUCCUUCCUCCUCUAUUAUAUCCAAGAAUUGAAAAUCUCCUUCAUCAAUACCUUGUUUCUCUUCAAAUUAGUUCACCAUGUCGGUAAGAACUGUCAAAGUCAGUAAUGUUUCUUUAGGAGCAACUGAGCGAGACCUCAAGGAGUUCUUCUCUUUUUCUGGUGAUAUUGAAUAUGUUGAAGUACAGAGUGAUAACGAGAGAUCUCAAAUUGCAUAUGUUACCUUCAAAGAUUCACAGGGUGC